rnacentral:RNase_P_RNA from 1 species
AGACCGCCGAUGGCGCCGCAAGGCGCACAGGCAAGGGUGAAACGGCGAGGCAAGAGCUCACCGCGGACGUGGCAACACGGACGGCACGGCAAACCCCAUCCGGAGCAAGACCAAAUAGGGAAGCUUGAGCGUGGCCCGCGCUGCUUCCGGGUAGGUUGCUUGAGCCUGCCGGUGACGGCAGGCCUAGAGGAAUGAUUGCCGAACCCCGCGAGGGGGGAACAGAACCCGGCUUAUCGGCCGGCUUUCCAU